GUGAGGAAUAUUGGUCAAUGGGCGAGAGCCUGAACCAGCCAAGUCGCGUGAAGGAAGAAGGAUCUAUGGUUCGUAAACUUCUUUUGCAGGGGAAUAAAGUGCAGGACGUGUCCUGUUUUGUAUGUACUCUGAGAAUAAGGAUCGGCUAACUCCGUGCCAGCAGCCGCGGUAAUACGGAGGAUCCGAGCGUUAUCCGGAUUUAUUGGGUUUAAAGGGUGCGUAGGUGGAUUGAUAAGUCAGCGGUGAAAGUUUGCAGCAUAACUGUAAAAUUGCCGUUGAAACUGUCGAUCUUGAGUGCAAAUGAGGUAAGCGGAAUGUGUUGUGUAGCGGUGAAAUGCUUAGAUAUAACACAGAACACCGAUUGCGAAGGCAGCUUACUGGGAUGCAACUGACCCUCAUGCACGAAAGCGUGGGGAUCAAACAGGAUUAGAAACCCCAGUAGUCC
rnacentral:rRNA from 1 species